GUAUCUUUGUAAUGCGUUUAGCUUCAGUUCGCUUUUUAAGUCUGCGGGCAAGCAUGGUGUCCGCCUUGUUGCCCUUUUCAUAAUAUUUUUGUUUGAGCCACAUCAGAGCUUUGGCUGUGUCUGCUUGUGUGAGGGUGUUAAGGAGGUUUCUGGUCGCCGUAAGUUUGGACAGGGUGGUCGGGUUAGGGUUCUUUUUGUGUUCCGUUUCUAGGCGGCGGAGUUCUGUCAUCGUUUCUAGUAUUUGUCGUUGUGUUUGUUUUUUUUUAUGGGUGGCUAGGUUGAUGA